GAAAACUGAAUAUAUAUCAAUUCUAUACUUGUUUGCCAGAAUGUUGAUACACUGAUAAUUAGCUUCUCUAGUGUGUGUGAUUUGGACAUGAAGCUCUCCUCAUCAAAAUCGACGGAAACGUUGGAGACAUUAAUGGAGAAUGACGGUAUAUCAUGGGUCACAAUUCAUUCUACUCUUUUUCAGUAGAUUUAGAACUGACUAAUCUAGCAAAAUGGUUUUGAUUGCACUCUAGUUUCCAUCGGAGCAAUCUCACAUUAGAUUGAAAGAUUAGAGUUAGGAGAGUUUGAAGCACUAAUAAACAAGUCGUCUAUUCAAAAAAUCAAAGAAUCUAUACCAUUUAGAUCCCAACUAAAUGGGCUUCUGCUCAAAAAAUUAGAGAUUUUAUAUCGUUUGAUACAACUCUGGCUCUAGAUAAGUUGAGAUGACAUGAUGAACUUCUAUAUAUAUUUUUAUUAAAAAAAUAUC
rnacentral:lncRNA from 1 species